AAAUUCUAAAAGCCGAAUCGCACAGCAAAUUUUGUGUACGUACGGGGGACGCAAUACAUGGGGUGAAUGCCGCAGAACCGUGAGGUUCGAAGGCUAGGGAGCAUACCUCUUCCCGAACCCGACAACUAACCUCGGAGGCUAACAGGAGGGAAAAU
rnacentral:sRNA from 2 species